GAACUUUUGAUCUUGGUUCAUCCUGCUUCUAUCUCAUCUCCUGUGGGCAUUUUCUUUCCUCGGCUCCAGACGUGGAACUCGGCGGUUUUUCUUUCCUUCCCCCUUCAAGCUCACGGCAUUGCUGUGGUGAGUGGAUUUUCACGAAGGUUUUGGAUGUGAAGGAGUUUAAGGCACAUCAUUGAGAAUAGCAGGGGAUGCUGAUCAUCCUUAUUCUUACAGUGGGUCAGACAUCCUGACACUGGAGCGUUCUCCUUGUCUCUCUCAUAAGGCACUGAAAUCCCGCCUGGGACCUAAUCACCUCCCAAAGGCUCUACCUCUUAAUACCAUUAACUAGAGGGUUAGAAUUCAAAAUAUGAAUUUUGGAAGGAUCCAAACACUCAGUCCCUCUCACCUUUGUUUUAUUCUCUGAACACAUGACAUUCGAGGGGCUUCACUUUCCGCAUCAGAGUUACUUUCCUAAGGAAAAAUAAUCCUCCACUUACAUAAGGCUAUUUGUUACAACUCCUAAAACACAUUAAUUCCAGUUUUUAAAUUCUGCUCCGUAACAGUUUUUACAAUCCCAUGAAUACCAUGUGCCAAAGCCCCUUUCUUGGCUGUGAGGUCUUUCAAAGCAACACUACUUCUGCUGGGGUCCUAUCUUCUCCCACCAAUGGCAUCCCCACCAAUUCCUCUCAAAUGCUAUCAACUCCAAAUAUCAAGGGCCUGUAAGUACGUUUCUAUCAGUUCCGUCUUGGGACCCCUUCCACAGCUGGUGUUGCAUCUGAAGAGGUUUACAGGGGACACAUCCUCAUUUGCCACAGGUCAGAAGGGUCCCUACAGUCGGAGCUGCUAUGAUUCAACCAUUUAUCCUGACCCGUGACCCAUGACAUGUUUUUCCUCAACCCUCUACCUCUAAACUCGGUUUUGUGACAAGGCACCUAAUAAGAGCUAUGAGCUGAAUGGCCUCUUUUGUUCACCCAAAGCUGGCCUCCACGCUACCUGGCAGAGGAGGCAAACUGUGCCCCAUGACAUCCUUCCUUCAAUCCAUCAUCCAGCCCAGGUCGGGUCUGUGCUUUUUAUUUGCCGGCCAGCUCCCUUAGGUGUGUCUCAUUUUGUCUGUACCUCGCUUUUAAACAGAUGUAGCAACCCAAAUGCCUUCAGAGGUGACCAAAAAGAGAGAAAGGGGGACAAGUGGAAGAAUGAAUAACCCGGGGAGAAAAACCCCCACUGGGAAUGACCUCACUGCUGGCUCCAGCUGAUGGCUGCCCCAUGAGGUGGUGAGCCUAGGGUGCCAGUGUGUCUAUCCCUGGAAUGUUUUAUUUGAAAUCUCCAUAUUCUCUCUCUUUUUUUUGGGGGGGGGAGCUGCUCCUGUGGUACAUGGAGGUUCCCAGGCUAGGGGUCUAAUUGGAGCUGUAGCCUCCAGCCUAUACCACAGCUCACAGCAACGCCAGAUCCUUAACCCACUGAGCAAGGCCAGGAAUCGAACCCACAACCUCACAAUUCCUAGUCAGAUUCGUUUCUACUGCGCCACGACUGGAACUCCCUAAAUCUCCAUAUUCUUAUUUUUAAAUUAAUAUUUUAAAGUUUAUUAGCAAAACAUAUAUAUUUCCAAGUCCAACAUAACCCAAAGACAGUCACUUUGAGACUACUGGCUCCGACUCAUGCAUCAUAUGCCCCAGGAGCAUGUUCCCUUGCAGGACUCUGCCUGCUACCCCAUUUGAAUAAACCUGUCAUCUUCAAGCUCAUCGAACAGAGCUAGCAGGACUGAUCCUGGUCCUCCCAGCCAAGCCCUCGCAAACUGGUCCGAAUUUGUUCUAAUUAGUUCUUCUAGUCUAUAGGGAUUGGUUCUUUUGAGAUACAAAGCCAUGGUUUUAUCUCCCAGGGGGACUUGAGAGUUAGUUUCUAGACCUGAUUUUUAUUUGAGGAAGUCACUGUUUGACUUCUGUCAUUUGUUCCAUGUCCUUGGGCCACAGCUCUUGUUAUCACUCCUCACGGAGGCACAACUCUAAUACUCCUUUAUGCUGGUUCCACUUUUGAAUGCAGUCACAGGAAAGUUUUGCUUUUGGAUAUCUCCUUAGUUUGGGCUCUAUGAGCUACCCUUGCCACAAGGUAAAAUUUACUCCCAAUUCAAUCCAUGCUUCUGCCUUCAUUUAAAAAAUUCUCUCUCCUAUUCAUACUUUUCUUAGCGUCUAACCCAAAUCUUUACUUGAUUUUAUUUCUUCCAAAGUCUCCAAGGAAAUCUGAUGUCCUGGAGAUAGUGCUAUGUUUCAGUCCUUUUUAAAAAUUCACUUUUUAACUUUGGAGCUUAUAAGAACUACACCGAGCUGCUUCUAGAUUUGAGGCCAGGGUGAUGGCAUCACUUCUGCAAUAAGCGCCCCUGGGGUCUCUACCCUUUCACCAUCCUGGUGAGGUACAUACAUCCUGGAAACCCGCAACCAGGACCAGCGCACUGAUGAUGAAUAAUCCAAAGAGAAUUAGAAACACACACAGUAUCUAAAGGAAGGUGAAGGUGUCAGUGCAGAGUGAUGACUUCGGGAGUCUGCAGGAGAGUCAAUGAAGUCAGAAGUUACUCACUCAACGGUGUCUUCCUUGAUGUGAGAUAAAGUUAAAGAGACAGAGGAAGAGAAUUAGGAACACCUGGUUUCUCAUUACCAGGCAAUGGUAGGACAAACAGGCAGAAAGCAAAAUGCCAAGCGUAUGUGUUCCGUGUCUCACAUGGAAUGCAGCUCAUUUCUGGAGCUCAGCUCUAAUAAGCGAAUUCCAGAAUCAAUGCCUAAAAUGCUAUGUACGACCAUAAUACUAGUUCCUACAAACACACAGCUCAAGAAUGGCCAGGAUGGCUUCCCCAAGACCUGCCUCUCUGAAGUUGUAUUUCUGCCUCUAAUAUCACUUUGAAUUUCUACCCAAAGGGGCUUCCUGAGUCAUGCAUAAUAAAUGGGAGGUCUGGACAAAGCAAAGACUCUUCUCUGGGUUUAUCUGACAGAGAAAAGAGGUGCAAAGAUUAUUAGCCCAAAUAAAAAUCAAAGGAGGAGAUUUACUCAGGGAUCUCUGAUUGAAUAGAGAACGGAGUAGCAGACCCGUCCAGAUGUACACCUCCGCCUUCCUUUGCUGGGGCUGGGGGCUGGAGGAGGACAGAACACCCCAUGCCAAGAGCAGCCACCUCCCCGGACUGCUGAUCAUGCUGGAGCAGGCAAGAGCAUAAAAGAAAGUGCAGUGUUUUCAAAGACAGAGACAAUCUCAUGCACCCAUUUUAUUAACUGCUGGUGGCUCUAAGUCCAGCAUUAAGGAUACAGGAGAACCUGAAAAAUAAAUUUUAAACCGAGUUGAGAAUAUGCCGACCUACUAUAAUUCUUAUAAACUCUGUAUGGCAAUUUCCAAAAACGUUACUGUUUAUAAUGCACUUUGAUAGCAGUGACACGAGACAAGGAGCUAUUGUUUACUUUAAACUCAUCAUUUCCCUGGGGAUGCAGAAAAGACCACGUUCACUACCACAGGUCCAAGAACGAGACCUCCUCAAGUUCAACGUGUUCUCCCAACAUCUAAGUGGUUAACUGGAUGAAAAACGAAUUCUCAUAAAGCCUAUGCCAUUCUCUUUUCUCCUCUUGUCCGUCAUCUCAUUUUACUACCUUUCACUUCAAAGUCCUCUUUACAUAAGCCACGUCAUGUAUAAAUCACGAUUUUGAUACGAUGCAAGAGAGAAGUUAUACAAGAUCCAGGGUGCUGUCUCAGACAGAAGCAACCCCCCUUUAAACUCAGCAUCACCAUGAAGUACACAUGUCUUUACUUGUAAUAGGAGGGAAGUGUGUGAUACAUCUGUGGGGCUGAAAUCCAAAUCUGGCCUAAAGCUUUCAACUGGCCUGGCUUUUCCAAGGCCUUCUGGUACCCAGAUAGGCCUCGGCUCUGAUAACCACUUCUAUGGUCCCACACACAAGCCAGAAACUUCCAGCAUAUCAAAGCAAAGAAGAUGAUCUUAUAAGGACAAAAUGAAGACUAAAAUGGACUUUCUUCCCCUUGUUCAUGUUUGGGGGUUGGCGCAUAGCCCUCAUGGCCUCAAGAGUCUAGGAAGACCUGAGAUCUUACUCCCAGGCAGUUGUGUGCGACGCCCUUGAGGCCACGAGCAUAGCCCUCACGGCUUCAAGAGUCCAGGAAGAACUGAAAGCUUGCUCUCAAGCCGUCCUCCCCCUGUGUGUGGGCUCUCUCACCCAGGAAAGGAUGGGUUGGGGCUACGUAAUAUUGAAGGGGCCCGUCUGAGCAACACUGAGGAGAUGGCAGCUACCAGUGAGUGCUGUGAGAGCACCAGGAGAAAGUAUGCCAGCAGGCUCAUCAGGGAAGGUUUCCCAGAAGAAAGAGCAUUACUGCAGAACCUCAGAGGAUGAGAGAGAAAAACACUCCAGACAAGGGGACAAGGUAAACAAAGGCUGGGAAAAGGAAAUACACCGCAUUUGCCUGGCUCUGCAAAGAGUCCAACAUGCCUGGUCGUUGCAAAGGAACUUUUCCAUAGGCUCGUCCUCUUUUACAGAAUGAAGAAAUAAAAAAAAAUUUUUUUAAAAAGAGUUCCCAUUGUGGCACAGAGGAAACAAUCCAACGUAGGAACCAUGAGGAGACUUUUCAUAUAGAUGGAAUCAUUCAACCGAGGCUGUGACUGACUUCCUUCACUUAGCAUAUUUUCAGAAUUAAUCUCAGCUGCAUCAUGAAUCCGUGUUUCUUUCCUUUGAUGGCUGAACACGUCUCAUGCUGCAGGAAUACACAGCAUUCAUCAGCUGGUGGACAUCUAUGCUGUUUCUGCCUUUUAGCUAUUCUGAGUAAUGCCGUUAAUAAACACUCAUGCCCAAGUUUUUGUGUGAACAAAUACUUUCAUUUUUCUGGAGGGUAUACCUAGGGCUGGAAUUUCUGGGUCAUGUGGUCAUCCUAUGUUUAAACUUCUUAAGAAACUGUCAGAAAACUGGAAAAAACGAUUUUCCAAAGCGGCUGCACCAAUUCACACCCUCACCAGCAGAGUAUGGACGUUCCAAUCUCUCUACAUCCUCACCCACACUUGUUAUUAUCUGCCUUUUCAAUCCCAGUGAGUGUGAAGCGGUUUUAAUUUUUUGUGGUUUCAACUUUGCCCAGUUACUACAGAUGCUGAGCACUUCUGUCCGAUUUGACUGGGCACCGGCACUUCUUUGUAGAAAUAUUCCGAGUGUUUGCCCAUGUUCAAAUUGGAUUGUCUUUUUAUUCUUGAAUUGUAAGAGUUUUUUUUUAAUAUAUUUUAGGUACGACCUUAAAAGAUAUAUAAAAUCAGAUGAUUAACACUCACAUUUUAAAGACGAGAAACAACGUAUUCAGGUACUAGAUUAAAAUUACUGCACUGUUUUCUGCAAAAAAACACACUUUUGUUUUCAUAUAGUAAUCAUUAAAUGUUUUAAACCCAGUUUUUUUUCCUUAACUCUCAUUAAAGUCACCCUCCACUCUGGUCGGUAAAAGACUUCGUACAGAGAUGUGUAUGUCCCUGCCUCUACAGAGAGCGUCUGAUUGCCUCAGUAAGACCAUGGCAGCUUUUAUAAAUCAUGUUUUACAAAUUCAUGUACUAGAAUUACAUCCCAAAAUAAGCCUUGGAAGGCAUCUGGCUACAUGCUGUAACCAUUAAAAUGAUGUUCUGAGCCACAGAAAAAAUGUGUGAGAGACACUCUCUACAUGAAGUAUGACGAGAUAGUUCAAAUCUCAUAUGAGUGGCCAGUAAGUUGCUUCCAAAGAAUAAAUACCACAACUGCAGGAGCUGCGGGAACCCUGGCUCACAAACACAAGCCACUUUCAUGUUCGGCUGUGGCCUCAGCUGUGUGCUCAACGG
rnacentral:lncRNA from 1 species